rnacentral:lncRNA from 1 species
AUUGUAUAUCAGUUGAUCAUAUUAAUAAUAAUGUUGUUUCCAACAAAUAAUACAUAGUGGAGACUCUAUGGCCCCAAAUUGAUACUCUACAUCACUUAACAAUCCACUACCAAAUAAGAGAGUAUGAAGAGGACCCCCUCCCCUUCCUACACCGUCAUGAGCAAGACUGACACUGUUCUCCUUAAUCAGCAUCCCUCUAGGUAACGAGCUGAGGGUCGGCAUAACCAAAAACAAAUAUGACGUGCUGCCAAGCUCCACUUCUGACUCGCAACCUUGUACCUCGAGAACCCUUCUCAAAC